ACACCCUCCCGACCACAGAAUGCAGCUUGCCCCUGCCUCUGGGUUACCAUGGCAACAGGAAGAAGGCAUGGGGGGGGCAGGCCCUGCCAUCCUGCAAGCCACCUCAUUUACCCUGGAGCUGGGCACAGCAGCCACAGAUGUCAGUCACAGUUCCUUCUGGAGAGCAGACGAGAAUGAAAGGAAGCUGGGAACAGAGCACCGAAGGAAACAGUUUCUUUUCCCAUGACAAGCAAAAAGGGGACCAGACCAUUUAAAGAAAGAAAGAAAGCACAGAGCAGCUAGGGGUGUGGCUCAGCGGGUCCAGCGCUUGCCUAAUAUCCGCAAAGCUCUGGUGGUUUGGUCCCCAGCACUGCAUAAAACAGUUGGAAGAUGAAGGGAGGAGAAUCAGAAGUUCAAGGUCAGUCCCAGCUACAAAGCCAGUCUAAGGCCAACCUAGUCUAUACAAGAUCCCACCUCAAGAAGAAAAGAAAAAGAAAGAAGAGACAAGACAGGGAGUGUGAUGGAGAGAGAAGGUAAUUUUCCAAUUUGAGGCAGAAUUGGGGGAGGGUUCCUGCUGACAUCUGGCUGAACGUAUGAGUGAACUUGAAGGAGCAAUUACGAAAGGCAUGGCGGGGGGAGGGGCCUAGACAGGAGAAGAUGGAAAGCCCCAAGAGUAUAGCAGUGGUCAUCCGAGGGUGAUGGGUGAGGAGUCAGGAGGAUAGCCCAGUCCACAUGACCCAAGGCUGGGCCCAUCCAUCCCCAGAGUGCAGAUUUGACCGGAGUCUGUAGAUGGAGGGAGAUGGGACCUGCCUUUCAGCGCUCUUCCCACUGGGGGCGUGCAAGUGUGUGUGUGUGUGUGUGUGUGUCCUGCAGGAUGAGGAGAGACAGGGAGAGUCCUCGGUCGUGUUGUGCUGCUAGCUCCUGGGACCACACCUGGACAGGGCCUGCCUAUCCAAAUUGUUGGCCUAGGGCAGAUUUCGGCAUUCAGCAGUACUGCUGGCUGAGAGCGUCCUUGCUCACAGUGAGAGAUAAGGACGGUGGAGCUUGAAGCCAGGAGAGGAACUAGCACUGAGUUGGGGGAGGCCAGAAAAAAAAAAAAAAAGUAAGGAUCAAGAAUUUUCCAGUCAUUAUUAAACAUUCAGGGGAUGUAUCAAAGCUCUGAUUUGCAGCUCUCUGUUGAACUAUUGAAAAGGGGCUAUAGACCUACAAACCAAGCAAAAAACACCCACCAGCACAUAGGGGCAUCUGAAGGUCACUGGAGUCUACACCUGUAGUAGGUUAAAGGGUACCAGGGCCUUAUGGCUCCACCUUUAAGAGAAAGUGGAGUCUAAGCCUCUCCCCUGGGCCUGAGUCACCUUUAGUGACAUUUCAUCCAGUGCCUCCGAGAUCAGACCACAGGAAGCUUGCAGCACCUUGUAGGCCUCCUGGAACUGUCCUUCUGGGGGACCUGGCUACCAGGUAAGAAAUCUGACUCUCCUGAGACUGUCACAAUAAAGACUCCACAUGUGGGUGCUCUGAGUGGCAUUCCCAGCUAAGCCCAACCUUGCAGCCAUGCCCACCACGAUGCCAUAUCUGACUCCCAGUGAGCUCACCCACAAGUGAAACGCCACCCAGUAACCUCCAUCUGGGCCCCACGGAGCACAUGAACCGACCUGAGGAGCUCUGCCCAGCCUUGCCAGAGCUUCCAACCCACAAAUCACAAUGUAUCACAAGCCAGCGGGUUUGCUAAGCCUCGGAGAAUCAGGGCGGUUUGCUUUGCAGCCCUGGAAACUACAGCAGACACAUUCCUGGGAGAGGAUGUAGGCAGGGACACACACAGGAGAGGGAGGUAUGAAAGAGAAUCCUGAAGAAGACCCACUUCAGCCUAGUGCAGGGCGGACCCAGACAAGCUCCCUGACAUGCUGAAUGGCAAUGAAGGCAGAUGGGGACAGAGAGGAGGGGAAGGAGUCCAGUCAGAGUGACUUAGAAAACAGAUGAGAGGCAGUGGGGAAAGGGGGGAUGGGGGAGCUUGGUAGGGACCUGAACAGCUUUGCUUGCGUGGAGGCUGAGAAAUGCUGGAGCUUAUUCACCUGCUAGAGGGUACAGCAGUUGGAGGGGUCCCCCAGAGCCAAAGAGCUGCCCACAGGAGAGGUACCUAUCAUCUAAGAAGCCCUUGGGCACAAGCUCAAAGGUCAUUUUAGAAAUCCGCACUUUGGCGUGGGUCUACUGCAUGCUGAGCCCUUGGGCAACCUCUUCAUCCUCUGCUCUACUCAGUAAGAGGUAACAACGAGCCAAACCGAGCAUCUGAUGGAAAGGAAGCAUGGGCAGGAGAGAGAGAACCCGCACACACCAUGCCUAGACGGUAAAGGGCAAAGGGACAGUCACCCACCCAGCCCAGGAACUACUCGGAAGCAGGUCACCAGCACAUGGAACUGCAAAGAUCCUCCCGAAGUUGCUUUUUGGCUCCCAGCCAGAGCUGGUAUGACCAGUGGGUCCCCUUGGAAAUCUUUCCAGAUAAAGACAUCCAAACUAUCACCACUAUCACCACGCCCCAUCCAAAGGGCCAAAGCAGCAGGCUCAAAAUCCAUCCUGGAGUGAGACACACCUUCUCAGCCUGCCUGCCCUUUACCUGUAUCUUCAAAGCAAGAGGAGGGCUGGACUGAGCUGACUCAGAGGGCCUCAGGGCCCUGGGAGAGGCUGAAAGAGGCUGGGAAGCAACCCGGGCUUUCCCUCCACAUGGGCUCCCUUUCAAGACGGUCCCUCCCCUCACCCCAGUCAUUAAACCUUUGGCUCACCA